rnacentral:rRNA from 1 species
GUGAAAGGCCAAUCAAACUCCGUGAUAGCUGGUUCUCCCCGAAAUGCAUUUAGGUGCAGCGUCGUAUGUUUCUCCACGGGGGUAGAGCUACUGGAUGGUCUAGGGGCCUUACCGGGUUACCGAAAUCAACCAAACUCCGAAUACCGUGGUGUGAGAGUACGGCAGUGAGACGGCGGGGGAUAAGCUUCGUCGUCGAGAGGGAAACAGCCCAGAACACCAGCUAAGGCCCCUAAGUGUGUGCUCAGUGGGAAAGGAUGUGGGAUUGCCCAGACAACCAGGAGGUUGGCUUAGAAGCAGCCACCCUUGAAAGAGUGCGUAAUAGCUCACUGGUCAAGUGGUCCUGCGCCGACAAUGUAGCGGGGCUUAAGCACACCGCCGAAGCUGUGUCAUUCAUACAAUACAUCGGCUUCACUCCUUGAGGGUGUUGUCUAGUGGUGUGGAUGGGUAGGGGAGCGUCCUGCAUCCAGGGAAGCGGCGGCGGAAGCCAGUCGUGGAGGGUGUGGGAGUGAGAAUGCAGGCAUGAGUAGCGAAUGCAGAGUGAGAAACUCUGCCGCCGGAUGACCAAGGGUUCCUGGGCCAGGCUAAUCCGCCCAGGGUAAGUCGGGACCUAAGGCGAGGCCGACAGGCGUAGUCGAUGGACAACGGGUUGAUAUUCCCGUA